rnacentral:tRNA from 1 species
GCAAAUAUAGUUUAACAAAAACAUUAGAUCGUGAAUCUAAAUAUAGGAGUUCAAACCCCCUUACAUGCC